rnacentral:rRNA from 1 species
AUGUUCAACGCGCUCUCGGGCAUCGAUGGUGGUGGCCAGGUUGACCAUAGCGUCGCCGACAACGCCAACACCGCCCUCUACGCCUGCUUCGCCGUCUUCGGCAUCUUGGGUGGCACGGCUCACAACCUGUUGGGCCCACGCACCACCCUCCUCCUCGGCGCUCUCACUUACCCGCUCUAUGACGCCUCCUUCCUCUACUACAACCACCGCCGCUCCAUGGCCUUCCCCGUCGCCGCAGGGGCCAUCCUCGGCGCCGACGCGGGCCUCCUCUGGGCGGCCCAGGGUACAAUCAUAACCGCCUACCCGCCUCCGAACCACCGUGGCACGUACAUCUCCAUCUUCUGGUGCCUCUACAAUUUUGGAGGCGUCUUCGGGGGGCUCUUCCCCUUCUCACUCAACUAUCACCGUGGCAGCGAUGCCGGUAGCGUCAACGACGGCACCUCCAUCGCAUUCAUGGCGUUCAUGCUCCUCGGCAGCGCGCUCGCCCUCCUCAUCCUGCCACCUAGCAAGGUCGUUCGUGACGACGGAAGCAAGGUCGCGGGGGUGGCCUACUCCUCCCCGGCUAGUGAGGGUGCUGAGAUCCUUAAGCUCUUCACCGACUGGAAGAUGCUUCUUGUGCUGCCCGCGGCUUGGGACAGCAACUUCUUCUACACCUACCAGUUCAACAACGUCAACGGCAUCCUCUUCACGCUCCACACGCAGGCCUUAACAAUGUAUUCUACUGGGGUGCGCGGAUGA